UCCACUCUGAGCCGAAGACCACAAGUUCUGUGGUCAGUCUGUACUUUGAGUGGCUUGGACACCAGCCAGCCAACAAGGAAGGCUGUCCCCAGCACUUAGAGUCAGACAGCGUAGAAAAAAUGACCUUGUAAUUGUCCUAUGGACUUCAAGAUUAAGACAGAGAUCUUGCAUUCGAGCAGAGUUUCUCUGAGAAAAUACACACCUCAGUAUUAUGUCCAUAUGCAACACUACUGAGUGGAAAGACCCCUAAAUCCUCUUCUGGACCUAUAUGCAACAUGGGCAGCACAAACGUCCUCAAACUGCUCCGCCAACGUGCUUCAAUUCUGAAUGAGAAGGACCAGCUUUCUGGGUGAGAAAGGAGUCCGUCUCUAUUCAGUCCCUGACCCUUCUGAUCAAGGCUGUUAAUGAAGGGGCCUCAUUAACACCAAAGACAGAGGUCAGGUUUGGCCAAGUGAUGUAACGGUCUGUGUCGUGCCAAUCCCACCAGCUGGCUGGACCCGCCACGAAGAGCAUUUCACAGCCUGGAUUUAUGCAGCACUGAAUAUGAGCUGCCAGCCUGGAGAAGACGGGCCCAGGCACCUAAUGUGCCCGUUGGAGCAAACACAAGCGUGGUUCAACAGGAGGGAGAGAGGUUCACUGCUGAAACGUGUGUCUGCUUUGCAUGUGCCUUCUUGCAGUUGAUGCCAAAGUCAUUGAAAGAUGAUCAUCUGCAUGGUCAGAGAGAGGCCACCUUCAGAGUGGUGACGGUCACCCUCCACGGGAUAGCCUUUAGACGACUGAAAAAUAGAAGGGGAAAAUAGCUUGAAAAAUAGGACAGGACAGGAGAUCAGCAGCAGGAUCUGACUCGUA